AACGAACGCUGGCGGCAUGCCUAACACAUGCAAGUCGAACGAGACCUUCGGGUCUAGUGGCGCACGGGUGCGUAACGCGUGGGAACCUGCCCUUAGGUUCGGAAUAACUCCCCGAAAGGGGUGCUAAUACCGGAUAAUGUCUUCGGACCAAAGAUUUAUCGCCUUUGGAUGGGCCCGCGUUGGAUUAGCUAGUUGGUAGGGUAAAAGCCUACCAAGGCGACGAUCCAUAGCUGGUCUGAGAGGAUGAUCAGCCACACUGGGACUGAGACACGGCCCAGGCUCCUACGGGAGGCGGCAGUGGGGAAUAUUGGACAAUGGGCGAAAGCCUGAUCCAGCAAUGCCGCGUGAGUGAUGAAGGCCUUAGGGUUGUAAAGCUCUUUUACCCGGGAUGAUAAUGACAGUACCGGGAGAAUAAGCUCCGGCUAACUCCGUG
rnacentral:rRNA from 1 species